GCAAAGUCUGCCGAAAAGACAGAGGAGAAGAAGCAGCGGCUUGGUUCUGAGCAUUGGCAAGCCAAUGUGCAGUUAACGUCAACAUGCCGAGGUGGAUUGGCACCGACUGAAACUGAGGGAAGCGUUUUGAGCCUUUUAUUUUUCAUUUCGUCGUUGAAGAAUACACGAGUUCAACAGGAUAGCAACCACAAACCUGGAGAAUGACUUUAAUGAUGCAUUGGGCCAGCACACACACCACGCUUUGUCACAAUCUUCAAGUCCAAGAAGGGAAAUGUUGGAGAAACAUUGGCUGAGCUUGUGCAACAAAAAGAUUCACGGGUGAGUCUUCAAGAGACUUUAUUAUGAAAAAUGUGGCAGCACUGCGCAUGCUUGUGCUCCGAGGCCUCCCUGUCCUACUUGGUGAUGACCCAAGUAAAUUCUACAACACUUGCUUAACAGUGACAAGGCAUCACAAAGUUUCUGUUGGGGUGCUGACUGUCAUCUCUGAAGAUGAGCCUGGCAUGCCAAAUAAUCUCCACCUGGACAAUAUUGGCUGGGCAUCUUUUGUAGACUCUCAUUUACACAUUUGCAGUAGCCAGUAUGUACCAUGAGCAUCGUUUUAAACCAGCACAAUACACUUUUGAACUGGUGCAAUGUGUAAAGACCUCUAAAUAGAAAACUGUUGAAAUUGUGUCACCAUCAUGAUUUAAUAUGUGUUAGUGUAAAUCUGAUAAUUUUAGGAGAAUGAAACCCGUUUUGUGUAAUGGAGGUUUUCAGCACUUAAGUUACUUCUUAAAGGCAAUCGGUUUGCAUGCUUUUUCCUAAGAAAAGUUAAUUAGAAUUUACAGUGCAUAAUACAUUGACAAAUUGAUGAUCUUCAAUAAUAUCAUUUAUUUUAAAGCUUGGUUUAGCACUGAUUGUUUCAGAGGUUGCAACAUUGACUCAUUUACCACUUCAAAUAUGUGUGAUUGUCAAUGAAUAAUAAAAACAACAUACCCAACUUUGAAAAUGGUCUCCUGUCUUCAGAAAGAGAUCUUUGUUGGAAUUCUAUUCCUUUGCCGGUUUUAUACUGAUUGUGAUCACUUUAAUUUUGGACUCAUUUAACAAAAUCCAGCCCUCAUUCGUUUCCUCGCAGCGACGUGAAUGUUAACAGGUACAAAAACGAUGCUAAACUGGCUUGACCAGAUCUGUGAAGGCUUUAACUUACAUUGUUAAAAGAUUGUGUGACUGCCAGGAACAUCAGGUCUAUUGAAUUUGAACAACAAAGAAUAAAAAAAAAAAAAGUCUCUCGUUUAAGAUUAUUAUUUCGAUAGUGAAAGGUCUGUAAAAUACCAACACAGAUCUCAUCUACGCUGUCUGCAUUAAUAACAUAUAUAACUUUAUAAGAGUUAUAUGGUAGAAUUCAGCGAUUGUUAAAUCAAUACAGCUAAAGUCUAUAUAAGUCUAUUUGUGUAUGACUGUGAAUGGGACAUUGUAAAGCGCUUUGGUAACCUCUAAGGUUAAAAACAAAAAACAGCACUAUAUAAUAGCAGACCAUUUACCAACACCCGUGCCGAUUUAAAUGAUUAAAGAAAUCUUGACAUCAUCGGAUUUGAUU